CUCACGCUGCUCUUCUCCCUCAUCCGCCCGCCUGGGAUAUUUUUUUCCGCCGCUGUUCUUGGAAAAAUCCAGCCGCCUUUGUUCUUGAUUUCUUCCAGCCGCAAGAUUUUUCUUCACCGUGCAUCUCAAUCCUCUCCUUGGUGGCGCGUGGACGCUUGCUGUGAGCACAGCUCGCCGUUUGCCGCCGCUCAGCUUCAGAAAGAUCUCGCCGACGUUCUCCUCCGAGCGGUUGGCUUUACCUUCUCCCUGCCGUGCUCUCUUUCUUCUCUGCCCCUGCUCGCUCUGCUGCUCUGCGCGCCCCCUGAUUUCACUGCGCGCGAGCUCCUGCGCCCGCCUUCUCCCUUGCCGCGUUCCUUUGGUGGCCGCGCGCCCUCCAGCCCGGAGCUCUGCGCGCCCAGCCCAGCCACUCGCCAUGGCUCCUCCCUGCGCGCGUCGGAGUUCCUCUGCUCGGCCGCCUGCCAUGGAGCUCGCCCUGCCCCCUGUUUCCAUGACCGGCGUCCCCAAGCUCCUCCCCUGCCGGCGUCCAGCACCCGGCCGGAUCUCUCAUGGCGCGCGUGCCCUUCUCUUGGCGGCGCUCACUUUGUGCUUCUCUCUCUCAGCGCUCACGGCUCUUUCUCUCCUGCUCCGUCCAUGGUUGUUUGCCUCUGCUCGCGGCGUCCCUGCUCGCCCAGCCGAGCUCUCCACUGCCUAGCUCCAUCUCACGGCGCUCUGUCUGCUCGGUUCCAUGGCCGUGGUACUCCAGCUCGCCGUGCCCUGCUUCCUCUGUUUCCAUGGCCAGCUCUCUGCUCAUCGCGCGCGCCUGGACGCUCUCCCUGGUGGCCGCCUGUUCUCCCUGUGUACCGCGCGAGUUCUUUGGUAGACGCGCGCUGGCCGUGCUCCACUUCGCCCAUCGCGGCGCUCCAGUUCCAACUCGCUGCGCGCCGAGCUCUUCGCUGUUGUCCGUGCGCGCGCCGCUCGUCGACCUCUCUCCUCACGCAUAGCUCGCUCUUUCCUUGUUUGCCGCGCGCACGAAUUUCAUCUGCUCGCCACAGCGUGUCGAGUUCCCGCACCAUCAUCGCUUCUAUCACAAGCUCGUUGGCCACAUUUAUCUUGACCGUGUCAGCUCACGACUGUGGUCGUGUUCAUCGAAUUCGCCAACGCUUUGUUGCCGAUUCGACUGUCGUCGUUUCGCGUGUUGUCGAGCCCGUCGUUUUCCCUGUCUUGUACUCGCGUGGUUUUCUGCUCGCCGGUGCGCCCUCUCGGCUCGCUCGGCUUUAAUUCCCAAUCGCGUCGUCGAUUCCGCCGGUUAGCGUCGUUCGUCGUCGCGUCGCGGGUGCAGCUCUAUAUACGUCACCCUCCUGUGUCGUCGUCGUUCCGCGCGUCAGCAAGAAGACCCAAGAAUCGGGUGAAGACGAAGCUAGCAGCGCGAUAUUCCCCAAGCGCUCGACAAAUUGCCUGGAUCGGAAAAUCGCUACCGAUCUCGCGGAUUCGUGUCAGCUGUGGAAACGGUAAGCUGAUAAAUUAUUUAGAAUAGUUCGAUCGAUGAAUAAAUUAAUGUGCUAGUGCGAUGCUCAUUAAGGUGCUCGAUAAAUUGCGUAAGUCAUGAAACUCUCGUCGACUUCGCAGUUCUUGCGAUUAUCGAGCCAGGUUCAGUUAUAACGAGUUAUUUCGCUAUUUCGAUUAAUUAGCUGAAUUAGUGGACCGAGUAGAAUUUUGGCAGGCAUGUGUGAUGGUGAAAUAUUUUAAUCAGUUAUAACGAUAUAGUAUAAUUUAUAAAGCAAGGGAUUAGUUCAGAAUUUAAUUAAUUAGCUGAUAAGUUGUGUUUAGGCUAAUUGUGUUUAAUGUGUAUAGUUUGUUGUUCGUGAUGUUUGCGUUAGGUUCGAG
rnacentral:misc_RNA from 1 species